UCCUCGAUAGUAUAGUGGUCAGUAUCUCCGCCUGUCACGCGGAAGACCGGGGUUCGAUUCCCCGUCGGGGAG